rnacentral:rRNA from 1 species
GAUGAACGCUAGCGGCAGGCCUAAUACAUGCAAGUCGAGGGGCAGCGCGGUAGCAAUACUGGCGGCGACCGGCGCACGGGUGCGUAACACGUAUGCAACCUACCUUCAACUGGAGGAUAGCCCGGGGAAACUCGGAUUAAUACUCCAUAACACAGGGAUCCCGCAUGGGAAUAUUGUUAAAGCUACGGCGGUUGAAGAUGGGCAUGCGUUCGAUUAGCUAGUUGGUGUAGGUAACGGCUCACCAAGGCUACGAUCGAUAGGGGGUCUGAGAGGAUGAUCCCCCACACUGGUACUGAGAUACGGACCAGACUCCUACGGGAGGCAGCAGUAGGGAAUAUUGGUCAAAUGGGCGCAAGCCUGAACCAGCCGUGCCGCGUGCAGGAAGAAGGCCCUCUGGGUUGUAAACUGCUUUUGAUAGGGAACAAAUGCCACUUGCGAGUGGAGCUGAGUGUACCUAUAGAAUAAGCAACCGGCUAAACUCCGUGCCAGCAGCCGCGGUAAU